rnacentral:tRNA from 1 species
GGCUUGUGGCUCAGUGGUAGAGCACUCGCCUAGCAUGUGUGAAGCACUGGGUUUGAUCCUCAGCACCA